AGGCGUUUGUGGAAGCUACUUGGCCGAGUUGGAGUCAAUGGACCUCUGUAAUGAUGAAAUGCCAAUAUGCAACUCCAGCCCCUACCACACUGUGCCAUCACAGCAAGCAAGGAAUGAUUUCGGUGCCAGCUACGCACAUGGCUCCAGGUCAGGUGACUUCAGGUCACCUGGCCUAGGUAAAGAUCCC